GGAAGGAAAGGAAAGAGAGAGACAGUGGAGAAGAGAGAGAGAGAAAUGGACAGUGGAGAAGAGAGAAAGAGAGAGAGACAGUGGAAAAGAGAGAGAGAAACAAAGACAGUGGAAAAUAGAGAGGGAGACAGAGGCGAUGGAGAGGAGAGAGAGAGAGAGAGACACACACAGACAGAAAGACAGACAUUGGAGAAGGUAGAGAGAUACAGAGUGAAGAAGAGAGAGAAAUGGACAGUGGAGAAGAGAGAGAGAGAGAGAAAUACACAGUGGAGAAGAGAGAGAGAAAUACACAAUGGAGAAGAGAGAGAUAGAGAAAUACACAAUAAAGAAGAGAAAGAUAGGGAAAUAGAAGGAAACGAGAGAGAGACAGAGAGAGAGAGAAAUAUUGGAGAAGUGAGAGAGAGAAAGAGACAUUGGAGAUGAGAGAGAGACACAUACAUUGGAAAAGAGAGAGAGAGAGAAAUACACAGUGGAUUAGAGAAAGAUAGAGAUAGUAGAAAAGACAGACAGAAAGAAAUAGACAAUGGAGAAGAGAGAGAGAGAAAAAUAGCAGAGAAGAGAGAGAGAGAGAGAGAGAGAGAGAGAGAGAGAGAGAGAAAAUAGACAGCAGAGAAGAGAGAGAGAGAGAGAAAUAGACGGCAGGGGAAGAGAGAGAGAGAAAGAGAGAGAGAGAGAGAAAUAGACAGUUGAGAAGAGAGAGAGAGAUAUAUAAAUAGACAGUUGGGAAGAGAAACACAGAAAUAGAAAGUGGAGAAGAGACAGAGAGAGAGAGAGAGAGAGAGAGAGAGAGAGAGAGAGAAAGGGAAAUAGACAAUGGAAAAGAGAGAGAGAGACACAGACAGUGGGCAAGACAGAGAGAGAAAGAGUGGACAAGAGAGAGAGAGAAAUAGUGCAGAAGAGAGAAAGAGAAAUACACAGUGGAGAAGACAGAGAGAGACACAGAGAGUGGAGAAGAGAGAGAGAGAAAUAGACAGUUGUGAAGCAAGAGAGGGAGAGAAAUAGACAGUGGAGAAGAAAGAGAGAGAGAAAUACACAGUGAAGAUAGAUAGAGAAAUACACAAAUAAGAAGAGAGAGAUACAUACAUUGGAGAUGAGAGAGAGAUACAUACAUUGGAGAAGAGAGAGAGAAAUACACAGUUGAGUAGAGAGAGAGAGACAGAGAUAGUAGAGAAGAGAGAGAAAUAGACAGUGGAGAAGAGAGAGGGAGAGAGAGAGAGAAAUAUACAGUUGAGAAGUGAGAGAGAAAGAAAUAGUUGAAAAAAGAGAGAAAUAGUGGAGAAGAGACACAGAUGGGGGAAUAGACAAUGGAAAACAGAUAGAGAGACACAGACAGUGGAUAAGAGAGAGAGAGACACUGACAGUGGAUAAGAGAAGAGAAACACAGACAGUGGAAAAGACAGAGAGAGACACAGACAGUGGGCAAGCAGAGAGAAAUAGUGGACAAGAGAGAAAGAGAAAUAGACAGUGGAGAAGGGACAGAGAGAAGUACACAAUGGAGAACACAGAGAGAGACAUAGAGAGUAGAGAAGAGAGAGAGAGAAAUAGACAGUUGUGAAGCGAGAGAGGGAGAGAAAUAGACAUUGGAGAAGAAAGAGAGAGAGAAAUACAAAGUGGAGAAGAGAGAUGGAGAAAUACACAAAUAAGAGCGAUAGGGAAAUAGACAGGAAAGAAGAGAGAGACAGAGAAAUAUUUGAAAAGUGAGAGAGAGAGAGAGAAAGAGACAUUGGAGAUGAGAGAGAGGUACAUACAUUGGAGAAGAGAGAGAGAGAAAUACACAGUGGUGUAGAGAGAGAGAGACAGAGACAGUAGAGAAGAGAGAGAGAGAGAGAGAAAUAGACAAUGGAGAAGAGAGAGAGAGAAAUAGACAGUUGAGAAGAGAGAGAGAGAGAAAUUGACAGAGGAGAAGAAGGAGAAAGACACAGACAGUGGAAAAAAGAGAGAAAUAAAGAGACAGUGGAGAAGAGAGAGAGAGAAUAAGAGACAGUGGAGAAGAAUGAGAGAGAGAGAGAGAGACAGAGACAUUGGAGAAGAGACAAGAGAAAAAUAAAUAGUGGAGAAGAGAGAGAGAAAUAAAUAGUGGAGAAGACAGAGAGAGACACAGACAGUUGAGAAGAGAAAGAGACACACAGACAGUGGGAAAGAGAGAGAGAGAGAGAAAUAGUCCGUGGAAGAGUGAGAAAGGGAGAAAUAGACAGUGGAGGAGAGAGACAGAGACAGAGAGAGAGAGAGAGAGAGAGAGUGAGUGUGUGUGUGUGUGUCAGUCACAGACAGUGGAAAAGACAGAGAGAGACACAGACAGUGGGCAAGAGAGAGAGAGAAAUAGUGGACAGCAGAGAGAGAGAAACGGACAGUGGAGAAGACAGAGAGAAAUAGACAGUGGAGAAGGGAGAGAGAGAAAUACACAGUGGAGAAGACAGAGAGAGACACAUAGUCGAGAAGAGAAAGAGAGACACAGACAGUGGGAAAGAGAGAGAAAAAAGACCGUGGAAAAGAGAGAGAGAGAAAAGACAGUGGAGGGAGAGAGGGGGGGGGAGAAAACAGAGAGAGACAGACAGUGGAGGAGAGAGAGAGAGAGAGAGUGUGUGAGAGAGUGGGUGUGUGUGUGUGUGUGUGUGUGUGUGUGUCAGUCACAGACAGUGGUAAAGAUAGAGAGAAACACAGAAAGUGGGAAAGACAAAGAGAGAGAAAUAGACAGUGGAGAAGAAAAAGAAAGAGAUAUACAGUGAAGAAGAGACAGAGAGAAAUAGACAGUGGAGAAGAGAGAGAGAAAUAGACAGUACAGAAGAAAGAGAAAUAAACAGUGGAGAAGGGAGAGAGAGAAAGAAAAAGUGGAGAAGAAAGAGAGAGAAAUAGACAGUCGAGAAGUCAGAGAGAAACACAGUUGAGAAGAGAGAGAGAGAGACAAAGACAGUGUAAAAGAUAGAGCGAGUCACACACAGUGGAAAAGAUAGAGAGACAUAUCGACAGUGGAAAAGACUGAGAGACAGAGACAGUGAGAGAGAGAAGUAGAUAGUGGAGAAAAGAGAGAAAAAGAAAUAGACAGUGGAGAAGAAAGGGAGAGAGAGCAAAAUAUUGGAGAAGAGAGGGAGAAAUAGAGAGUGGAAAAGAGAAACACAUACAGUGGAGAAGAGAUAGAGAGAGAGCUAGACAGCUGAGAAGACCGAGAGUCGCAGAAAGUGUAAAAGAGAGAGAGAGAGAGACAGAAAGGGGGAAAGACAGAGAGACACAGGCAGUGGACGAGAGAGAGAGAGAAACAGAGUGUAGAGAAGAGAGAGAAAGAAACAGUAGAGAAGAGAGAGAGAGAAACAGAGAGUAGAGAAGAGAGAGAGAGAGAAAUAGACACUGGAGAAGAGAAAGAAAAUUAGGGGAGAAGAGAGGGGAGAGAGAGAGGAAAAGAGAGAGAGAGAGAGAUAGUAGAGAAGAGAGAGAGAGAAAUGGACAGUGGAGAAGAAGAGAGAAAGAGAGAGAGACAGUGGAAAGGAGAGAGAGAGAAACAAAGACAGUGGGAAAUAGAGAGAGAGACACAGGCAAUGGAUGAGAGAGAGAGAGAGAGAGACAGGCAGAUAGACAUUGGAGAAGGUAGAGAGAUACAGAGUGAAGAAGAGAGAGAGAAAUGGACAGUGGAGAAGAGAGAGAGAGAGAAAUAGACAGUGGAGAAGAGAGAGAAAGGAAUAGACAUUGGAGAAGAGAGAAAGAUACAGAAUGAAGAAGAAAGAGAGAGAGAAACAGGAAAUGACAGAGAGACACACACAGACAGUGAGAAAGAGAGAGAGAGACACAGGCAGU
ensembl:lncRNA